rnacentral:rRNA from 1 species
GCUAAUGCUGCGAAGCAAAGUAUGUCACUUCGGGGUAACCUAAACGAGCGGACGGGUGACUAAUACGUAGGCAACCUACCCUCUAGACUGGGAUAACUACCGGAAACGGUAGCUAAUACCGGAUAAUUCCUUGACCCUCCUGGGUUUGGGAUGAAAGGCGGAACAAUCUGCUGCUAGAGGAUGGGCCUGCGGCGCAUUAGCUAGUUGGUGGGGUAACGGCCUACCAAGGCGACGAUGCGUAGCCGACCUGAGAGGGUGAACGGCCACACUGGGACUGAGACACGGCCCAGACUCCUACGGGAGGCAGCAGUAGGGAAUCUUCCGCAAUGGGCGAAAGCCUGACGGAGCAACGCCGCGUGAGUGAUGAAGGUUUUCGGAUCGUAAAGCUCUGUUGCCAGGGAAGAACGUCCGGUAGAGUAACUGCUACCGGAGUGACGGUACCUGAGAAGAAAGCCCCGGCUAACUACGUGCCAGCAGCCGCGGUAAUACGUAGGGGGCAAGCGUUGUCCGGAAUUAUUGAGCGAAAGCGCGCGCAGGCGGCUGCUUAAGUCUGGUGUUUAACCUUGGGCUCACCUGGGUCGCACUGGAAACUGGGCAGCUUUGAAUACAGAAGAAAAUAGUGGAAUUUCCGCGUGUACCGCUGACACGCGUAAAGAUGUGGAAGUAGCCCCGGGGGCUCAGCCGAGUUUCUGGAUUUUAAUUGCUCCAAACGCCCAAAAGCCUGGGGACAAACACGAUUAA